rnacentral:misc_RNA from 1 species
UAAUAAAAGUGAAUUUUAUGGCACUUUUAAAACAAUCCAUAUCCACCUUGUGUGCAAUGUUUUUUUUUUUAAAUAAACUCAUUUUUUUAAUAUGUUUUUAUCUGAAAUAUUUUUUAUGAAUUUACUUAAUUCUAAAAUA